rnacentral:rRNA from 1 species
ACGGGGGAUGCAAGCGUUAUCCGGAUUCAUUGGGUUUAAAGGGUGCGUAGGCGGUUUGAUAAGUCAGCGGUGAAAUCUUUCAGCUUAACUGAAAGGGUGCCGUUGAUACUGUUAGGCUUGAAUAUGGGAGAUGUGGGUGGAAUGUGUGGUGUAGAGGUGAAAUGCUUAGAUAUCACGAAGAAUACCGAUUGCGAAGGCAACUCACAAAGCCAUUAUUGACGCUGAUGCACGAAAGUGUGGGUAUCAAACAG